AGUAGUGUGGCAUAGCGGUUUAGAGAGUUGGGCUUUAACUCUGGAGACCAGGGUUCAAUUCCUGGUUCUGCCA